UUGUCAUUUCUAGCAAAUGAAGAAACAGUGUAUAAAAAUUUUGGAGUAACCUAUUUCGGAGACGUAAAUCAGUCAGAUUGUUCUAGGCUGAAACAUUGUUUUAUUUAACAAAGCAUACAGGCGAAAACCACUUUUAAAAUUUCGACAUGUUGUCGUAGUGGUUUGAUAUAACAUGGGCUUAUAUGUGCAUUGUUAUCUACCAGUGAGAGAUUACAUCAGUUAGUGAAAGUUAUCCUACUCGUCAACUGAAAUAUGGAAUUCUCACUAAAUCUUCAAAUCCGAGUGUCCGCAAGAAGAACCUGGAGGUCCGCUUGGUACCCCUCCAAAUGGUUCCUAUAAGGAUAAAAACAAGGUAUCCACUCAAGAACACGUACUUCAAGUCCGUAUUAAAUAAGUGUUCAUGUAAAAGUCCAGAAAAUAUACGAUCCAAUCAUA